rnacentral:rRNA from 1 species
UCNAAGGGUNAANGCGUNANUCGGAAUNCUGGGCGNAAGCGCGCGUAGGUGGUUUGUNAGUUGGAUGUGAAAGCCCCGGGCUCAACCUGGGAACUGCAUCCAAAACUGGCAAGCUAGAGUACGGUAGGGGGUGGUGGAAUUUCCUGUGUAGCGGUGAAAUGCGUAGAUAUAGGAAGGAACACCAGUGGCGAAGGCGACCACCUGGACUGAUACUGACACUGAGGUGCGAAAGUGUGGGGAGCAACAGGAUUAGAUACCCUGGUAGUCCAAGGGCGAAUUCCC